UGGCGAACGGGUGAGUAACACGUGAGUAACCUGCCCCAGACUCUGGGAUAACCCCGGGAAACCGGAGCUAAUACCGGAUAUGACACGAAGAGGCAUCUCUAUCGUGUGGAAAGUUUUUCGGUCUGGGAUGGACUCGCGGCCUAUCAGCUAGUUGGUGAGGUAAUGGCUCACCAAGGCGACGACGGGUAGCCGGCCUGAGAGGGCGACCGGCCACACUGGGACUGAGACACGGCCCAG
rnacentral:rRNA from 1 species